rnacentral:rRNA from 1 species
AUGAGACGGGAUGUUGAGCGUUUUGUUGCUCGCUGCACUACAUGUCAAAAAGCUAAGUCACGACUCAAUCCUCAUGGUUUAUAUAUGCCUUUGCCUGUACCUAGUGUUCCUUGGGAGGAUAUAUCUAUGGACUUUGUUUUAGGUUUACCUCGAACAAAGAAGGGGAGGGAUAGCAUAUUUGUUGUCGUGGAUAGAUUCUCGAAAAUGGCGCACUUUAUACCAUGUCAUAAAAGCGAUGAUGCUGUUAAUGUUGCUGAUUUGUUCUUUCGUGAAAUUAUUCGCUUGCAUGGUGUGCCAAAUACUAUUGUUUCAGAUCGUGAUACUAAAUUUCUUAGCCACUUUUGGAGAUGUUUAUGGGCUAAGUUGGGGACUAAACUGCUUUUUAGUACUACUUGUCACCCCCAAACUGAUGGACAAACUGAAGUAGUCAAUAGAACAUUGUCUACUAUGCUUAGGGCUGUUUUGAAAGAAUAA